rnacentral:rRNA from 1 species
CAGCCGCCACGGUAAUACGUAGGGUGCAAGCGUUAAUCGGAAUUACUGGGCGUAAAGCGUGCGCAGGCGGUUAUAUAAGACAGAUGUGAAAUCCCCGGGCUCAACCUGGGAACUGCAUUUGUGACUGUAUAGCUAGAGUACGGCAGAGGGGGAUGGAAUUCCGCGUGUAGCAGUGAAAUGCGUAGAUAUGCGGAGGAACACCGAUGGCGAAGGCAAUCCCCUGGGCCUGUACUGACGCUCAUGCACGAAAGCGUGGGGAGCAAACAGGAUUAGAUACCCCCGUAGUCCCUGUCUUUUAUAC